rnacentral:rRNA from 1 species
GUGGGGAAUCUUGCACAAUGGGGGAAACCCUGAUGCAGCGACGCCGCGUGAGCGAUGAAGCCCUUCGGGGUGUAAAGCUCUUUCGACGGGAACGAUAAUGACGGUACCCGGAGAAGAAGCUGCGGCUAACUACGUGCCAGCAGCCGCGGUAAUACGUAGGCAGCAAACGUUGUUCGGAAUUACUGGGCGUAAAGAGUGUGUAGGCGGUUGGGUAAGUUUGGUGUGAAAUCUCCCGGCUUAACUGGGAGGGUGCGCCGAAAACUGCCUGGCUUGAGUACUGGAGAGGAUAGCGGAAUUCCUGGUGUAGCGGUGAAAUGCGUAGAUAUCAGGAGGAACACCUGCGGUGUAGACGGCUAUCUGGACAGUAACUGACGCUGAGACACGAAAGCGUGGGGAGCAAACAGGAUUAGAUACCCGAGUAGUCC